UCCGCAGGCUGAGGGCAGGCAGGGAACAGCUUCCAGCAGGCGGAGCAGGAAGGAGAAGGGUGCCGGGUGUGCAGGGGAAGGGACAGGAGGGGUGCGUCGGAGCGACGGAGGGGAGCACAAAAUGGCAAGCGCUUCUGUGCUCCUCGCACAGCGAGACCGCAACCCUGCCGUCACGGAGACGCGCUGAACAGAGCAACUCGGCACUGGAGCAAAACAAGUGUUAAAAUGCCUCAUCCGUUCCAUUCAAAAUGAGAGAUCCUCAAAGUUCACCGCUUGAGCAAUCAAGAACUGGCUCAAACGAGCAGAAGAUUAAGAGGAUUGAUUGGAGUAAAUCCUAGGACCAGCUAUUUUUUUUUGCUGUUUGUGAGGGGGACAAAUGAGGAAUACAGUUCUAUCCUGAGGAACACGCUUGCUGUAAGUCAUUUGUGUACCCUCCUCAUUUACUAUGGAUUGACUCCCGAUGGGUUACUCUACUUUUAUCCAGCCAUGAUUCUCAGAUGACUGAAGAGUGAAAUUAUGUAACUGGCAUUGAAAUGGUUUUCACUGACCUGCCAUGUGGUCAUCACAAAGGCUGCCAAAUUUGGCACAGUUGUUUCAUAAACUGCCAUUGCCCAUAUGGCCACAUAGCUUGCAGAGAUUUGCUGAUCUUGCAGUCUGCCUGUGCGUUACAAAAUAAAGCUCAAUUAAGCAGGCAGAUCCUCUUGUCUAGUUUAAUUUUCUUUUCUCUUGCAGUCUUAAGGACUCAAUCAGGGCAAGGCUGAGGGAUCCAAGGCUUGCCUGUCUUCAUGAGAGCUAGAGAUGCUCAGCAUCCCAAAGGGUCUUACUGUAAAUAUUUUAUGAGUUUGUGCCAAGCACCUAAAAAUGGGUACAAUUUUUGUGAUCUUCUGCAACUCUGGUAAUAUUAUUAUUCUUGAUAAAAUCCUGUGGGCAUAGAUUCAGAGAGCAAAACAUGCAUGUGUAUCAACCUUCCCUCUUGCACAUCUCUUAUCACCAGUUCUCUUGAACAUGAACCACUAAACACCAUUUAAGAGACAAUUAGAGAUUUUGGUUAAAUUAUAUUCUAGGGGAUA